AUAAUUUUAUCUUACUUUUCAUUUUUAUUCUAUUUAGGAGAAAUAUCUUUAUAUUUAGUAUAUAAAAGAAAUUUAUUAAUAUGUUAUAGUAUAUUAGUACUGUAAAGGAAUUGAUGAAAUAAAUUAAAACUUAAUUUUUAAAAAGUAUGUUUUAUUUACAGUACCUUUUGUAUCAGGGUUAAUCAAAUAUUAUAAUUUAUAUUUUUAUCUCGAUUUCAGAAGAGCUAAGUUAUUAUUUUAGUUAAUGUUACAUAAUUAUUUAUAAUAUGAUUUAGGAGAGAAAUUUUAUUCGUUUUUGAAGGAUCUAGUUUUUUAAGAAUUAAAUUUAAUUUAGUUUUUUUAUUUAACUAUUAUAUUUUUUAUAAGUUAUUUAUUAAAAUAAAAAUUAUAGGGAUAAGCUCUAUAUUGUUCUAUAAAAAUAUUUAUUAAUAAAUUUUAGUAGGUUUAAAUUAUCCAUCCAGUAGUAGUGUGUAUAAUUUAUAUUUAUAAUUAAUUAAUUUUAUUAUUUUUAGCAUAAUAUUAAAAUACCAUAAUUAACUUUUUAUUUUGGGAAAUAAUGAUUAAAUUAGUAUAGAAAAAUGUUAAUAAUAUUAUAACUUUCAUAAUAAAAUAAGGAACUCGGCAAAUAUAGUUCUCGCCUGUUUAACAAAAACAUGGCCUUUUGAAUUUAGUAUAAGGUCUGACCUGCCCAGUGAAUAUAUUUAACGGCCGCGGUAUACUGACCGUGCAAAGGUAGCAUAAUCAUUAGUCUUUUAAUAGAGGGCUGGAAUGAAUGGUUUAACGAGGAACUAACUGUCUCAUUUUAUUUGUUUUAAAAUUUAAUUUUUUAGUUAAAAAGCUAAAAUUUUAUUGGAAGACGAGAAGACCCUAUAGAUCUUUAUAAAACUUUUUGUAGUUAUUUUUAUAUUAAUAUAUUUAUAAAAGCUUUUAUUUUGUUGGGGUGACAAAAAUAUAUGAUUAACUUUUUUAUUUAUCUACCAUUGAUAUAUGAAUAUUAGAUCCAUUUUUAGUGAUUGAUAGACUAAGUUACCUUAGGGAUAACAGCGUAAUCCUCCCCCAGAGUUCAUAUUUACGGGAGGGCUUGCGACCUCGAUGUUGGAUUAAGAUAAUAAUUAGGUGUAGCCGCUUAAUAUAUAGGUCUGUUCGACCUUU
rnacentral:rRNA from 1 species